rnacentral:rRNA from 1 species
UUGCUAAGGCCGAUGGCGACCGGCGCACGGGUGAGUAACACGUAUCCAACCUGCCGAUGACUCGGGGAUAACAGUUAGAAAUGACUGCUAAUACCGCAUAAGCGCACAGUGCUGCAUGGCACAGUGUGAAAAACUCCGGUGGUAUGAGAUGGAUCCGCGUCUGAUUAGUUAGUUGGCGGGGUAACGGCCCACCAAGACAGCGAUCAGUAGCCGACCUGAGAGGGUGACCGGCCACAUUGGGACUGAGACACGGCCCAAACUCC